CACGUGGGAGCGGGCCACUGGGAUUGUUCCUGGUUGCCUCUGAGCUCUGGCAGAACCCAGUCACCACAGGGCAGUGUUCAGAGGCCCACAACUUGGUCUGCCAUCAGCAACAUGUCAUACGGGGCUAUCGAUGGCAGUGGCUUUGGUGCCCGGAAUCCAUUCGGGGGACCUUCCAGGCAAGGAUACCAGCCUGUAGCAUCACAGAUUGAUCCGAACGAAAUCCAAGAAGUCUUUCAGGAGCUCACAGCAAACAUCUUCCGCAUCAACACAAAUGUGACUUCCCUGGAAAAGAGUCUGCCAGCCUUGGGGACACCCAGUGACACUCAGCAGUUGAGAGAUGGACUGCACUCUACACAGCAAGAGACCAAUAAAACAAUCAGCUCCUCCACAAAGUACAUCAAACAGCUCUUGGAAAUCGUACGUGGUUCGUCCAGGAGAGAAUGGCUACAAUUAGAUAGACUGAAGAACCAGCUCUCAGACUCUGUCCAACGCUAUGGACAAGUGCAAAAGAAAGUUGCUGAGAAGUCCAAAGCCUUCCUUCCCUCCGCACAGAAGGGCAGACAGAGUGCCAAGAACAAUUUUACAGAGAUCAGCGAUGAGGACGCCUUCCUCGGCAGAGGGUCCAGUAGCUGGCAGACCCCGGGUCAGCCACAGGAUCCGGCUCAGAGUCAGGACCAGGCGUUUCUUUCAGAGAUCACAGAAGAGGAACUGGAGAACGUAAAAGAAAGAGAGGAGGCGAUUCUACAGAUUGAGGCGGACAUGCUCGAUGUGAACCAGAUUAUCAAGGAUCUUGCAAUGCUGGUGCAUGAACAAGGAGAUAACAUUGAUAGCAUCGAAGCCAACAUCGAGAGGGCAGCUUCAAACGUGGACGCAGCCAACGAGCAGCUAGCGAAAGCCAGUCAGCACCAGAAACGAGCCCGGAAGAUGAAAUGCUGCUUUAUCCUAUCAGGCUUGGUUAUUCUGACUGUCACCAUCAUAAUUAUCGUGGUUUCUGUGAAACAAUGAGUCAGGAAUUGGCCUAGGGUGAGGAGGGAGUUGACCAUAGGCACGAUUAAAGGACUUCAAGACAUUUAGAGAGAAGGGAUGGGGGAAAAACAGAAGGGUAGAGGAAGGAGUUCCAGAGACAGCCCACGUUUAUUCAACAUUUUAAUGACUGAUAACAAGAGGAAGGGGCAGCCCCACAUGCGAAGGAAUCAUAACCAGCUUUGUCCAGUGCGGACGACUCCUUGUCUCUUGGUUGUGCCAGAGGCGCCACGACGCAGCGAGAAAGAACCAAAGUUGUGACGUUACACUAUUCCUGCCUCGAAAAAGGACGGAAACUGGGCCUGGCAGCAGCAGCAGCCACCUUCCCUCUUACCUCAAACACAUACAGAGCUGAUUUGUUCUGUCGUUCCUGCACAUAUCUAUAAACCUCAAUGAGUUUCUCAGUUUUCUCACCUCCCCUCAACAACAUUCAUUCUGGGGUC